rnacentral:rRNA from 1 species
GUUAGUGGCCAUACCACCUGUAGUUCAGACCAGGUAAUCCAUCUGAAGCCAAGCAGGUUUGGGCCUGGCCAGUACUUGGAUGGGAGACCCACUAGGAAAGCUGGGUUACUGCUGGAA